AUCGCUUCUCGGCCUUUUGGCUAAGAUCAAGUGUAGUAUCUGUUCUUAUCAGUUUAAUAUGCUGAUCGUCCCCCAUCCGGGGGACUACAUAUUAAGAUGGAUUUUUUAGAUCACGGAGCUGGAGCCGGCGGCUUUUGCUCCGUCCACUCCAUGCAUCGGCCUGGUAUUUGCAGUGUCGGGAGUUCUGUCACAUGC
ensembl:snRNA U2 U2 spliceosomal RNA